ensembl:lncRNA
GUUACAAGUAAAUAAUGAUUUUUUUAUUCAUCUUUUUUUGUUUAAAAAAAAAGUUGUUAAUGUUGCUGUGCCCCCAGGGGUUCAUUGUACUUUGAACUAAAAAUAAUAUUCAGAUGAAAGCUGACUACUUGUCAAGAAACCUAGCAAGAUUUCUCAAGUAAUUUUUUUGGAAGGGCAACAAGGUUUUUGAAAGAUGUUAACAUUUUUUUAUUAACAUUUUUUCAUUGUAACAGAGUUCAUUGAACCAUUCUUGAGAGAUUUUCUUUAACCCUUAAAUAUUACACUUUAUGUUGGUACAACCUAAAAAUACUGAAGAGGGAGGAAUAAAGUCUACAACUUUGUACAAGCCUGAAGCAUCCUUCCAGAUCUGUAGCACUGAUGCUAAACUUGAUGGGUUCCUUCUCUUUAGCUUAAGCAUUAUGUUUAGCUUGAGAUGGUCUAGCCGUGAAAGUAGUUCAUCUUGUACUCUCUUACACUGGAUAGUGAUUAGCCAUUCUGAAAAUAGAACAUCUUUAUCUGGGAGUCCUGUGUUAAGUCUUUAAAAACAAAACCUAGGGGCAGGGAUUUACCUCAGUGGCGCCUUGCCUGCCUCGAAAGUGCAAGGUCCUGAGUUCGAUCCCUGGUACCAAAAAAAAAAACAACCUGGGUUUGUCAAUUCAUAAGAGAUGUUUUAAGACAAAACUGCCCAAAGGCUUAAGUUUUGUUACCUUUCACAGUUUAAUCUGUAUAAGAAAUGGCAUAGAUACAGUGGAAAUGGUUCUCCUUCAAAUCAUCUCUUUUAAAGCUGCUUUUCUGGUGAGUACUAUCCUGUACUUCUAUGUAUCACCAUUUUUACCUUUUAAAAUUAACUGAAAUCGGACUGAAGAGGUGAGCAAUCUGAAUUUCAUGAUGUCCUUGGAUAUUACUUGCAUUAGGAAUCUUAGAAUGAUUAUUUUACCACCACACAUUUCCCCUACUUCUGCUUUACUUUUUCCCAACCUUCACUUAAUAAAAUAUAUAUACAAACUCAUAAGGCUUAAGGUUUUCCUUUUAGUUGGUAGCCAAAUGAUUUUUCUCAUUGCUUUUAAUUCUUGCAUAAUUUAAAAUACCAGAACUUCUUUGUGUCCUUAUUAAAGCUGACAUUGCAGUGACUCUUGACUAAUUCAGUUGGGAAAGAGGAGGGUUCAUCAAAAUUGGUCGUGCAGACCAAUUGAUUAUAAGGUUCUCUUUAAGUCUUAGUUUUCAAGUGUGUUAUUUCAUAAAUUAUUCAAAUUCUUUGGUUAAAUAUAUUGGUUUCUGGGACUUGUGUAUACCCAUAAAAAUUAGCCUUUGAGUGUUUAUGCCCUGUUUUAUCCUUAACAUGUACAACACAAGGAUUUCUUUCCCUCUGGUUUUUAGCCACAUUCCAGAUGAUGUCAAUAGAGUUUAAAGCUGUUCUCACAUUGUUUUCUGCUUAAUCUUUGUGAAUCUGUAAACUCUCAUGCUUUUUCAUAUAAGCAGUCAUACUUUGCUAAAUAAAUAUGAAAUUAAUAAUCUUGAGUAUGUGAUACAGUAAUGUUCUUUUAGAUAAACACUCAAAGUAUGAACCCUCAAUUUGUGUCUUAAGAUUUAAUGGAAAGUAAGUUCUAAGGAACUGUGUCCUUUCCUAGCAGGAAAAACCAGACUGAAAAACUGCUUUUUUCAGGGUAGAAAUAAGUGGCUGUCAAAAGAAAAUAUCAAGAAGAUUACUUAAAUAUCUUCGUUUAAAACCCAGUAAUGACUUUCAGUUUACUUAAAUCUUCUGUUUUUCAGCUCUGGUUAAAACUGACACUAGGCAGCUGAUCAAAAUUUAAAAACUCAUUGUACUUUUUGUGGAAUAUUUUAGGAAUUAGUGCAUAAUUGUAAAAUGGCAUUAAGCUAUACUUGAUUUACAUAGAGGCUGUGGUUUUAAGGGAGAAAAAUUUGUUUAAAUUUGGAGACCUCAACCCUAAUGUACUAAUAAUUAAGAUAAUAGAGAUUAGGAGACCUCAACCCUAAUGUACUAAUAAUUAAGAUAAUAGAGAUUAAAGUGAAAAGUUUUUAUUUGGUGCAGCCAUGAAACAUGAUUAUUGGUCCUUUUUAAAAAUCAACCCAGUAUAACAUCUAUUUUAUGAAGUGAUACAAGAUCCCAGAGGGUUGUUAGAAAAGAGGGAGCCUGUCUCUUAAUUUAGUCUCAAGGCUUUACUCUCAGCCUUUAUUUUGUGAAGGAAUGCAGUAAAGAAUAAGUAACCAUAUUUGAACAAUAUGGUUGUAAGAAGUACCUUAACAGCACAUGGGGAGGAUAAAUGGCUAGUCUGAAAGUAUGAUUUAAAUGGUCUAGCUACCCAAAAAUCUUCCCUUAAAGCAUUUUUUAUGUAUCUGUAUUAGCUCAAUAAAGGUUGUAAUUACUAGCUUUUAAAUUUUAUCAGCAUUAAAGGUAUAAUACAUGGAUUAUGUGAGAGUUUUAAUUUUUCUUAUGCAAGUAAUGUUAGUACAUCCCUUCACUUGGUUAAAUAACUAGAAGCUUUUGGAAAACAAAACGAGAAAAUCACAUUUGCAGUAUAUAUGUAAGUUUAAUUUUUGUCCACCAAUAGAUUUUUUUUUUUUUUGGUACCAGGGAUCUAACUCAAGACCUUGUGCUUGUGAGGUAGGUGCAGUGCCUCUGAGCUAAAUCCCUUGCCCUGAGAGAUUUUCUUUUCUUUUUUCUUUUUUUUUUUGUACCAGGGAUCCAACUAAGGACCUUGUGCUUGGAAGGCAGGCGACAGCACCACUGAGCUAUAUCCCCAGCCCCCGAGAUAUUUUCUUUAUGCAGUCAUACACUAAUUAGAUUAGAACUCAUGAAAGGACAUUGAAAUUGUUUUUCAUUUUUACAGUGCCCUAGGCACUGUUUAUUAGGCUUUUAAGUAAGCCAAAACUAAUGAAUAGUGAUUUCAUUAUCCAGUGAUUUUUAGUUUGUUAGAGAAUUACAAGUUUUACUUGGGCAUUAUUAAAAGUCAGUUUCUUUUUUUACGAGGAAAGGGUGGACUAUCUCCGUCAUUCAUUAACCUUUGAG